rnacentral:rRNA from 1 species
CGCGUGCACUGGCUCGGCUGGGUCUUUCCUUCUGGAGAACCGCAUGCCCUUCACUGGGCGUGCCGGGGAACCAGGACUUUUACUCUGAACAAAUUAGAUCGCUUAAAGAAGGCCUAUGCUCGAAUACAUUAGCAUGGAAUAAUAGAAUAGGACGUGUGGUUCUAUUUUGUUGGUUUCUAGGACCGCCGUAAUGAUUAAUAGGGACAGUCGGGGGCAUCAGUAUUCAAUUGUCAGAGGUGAAAUUCUUGGAUUUAUUGAAGACUAGCUACUGCGAAAGCAUUUGCCAAGGAUGUUUUCAUUAAUCAGGAACGAAAGUUAGGGGAUCGAAGACGAUCAGAUACCGUCGUAGUCUUAACCAUAAACUAUGCCGAUUAGGGAUCGGACGGCGUUAUUUUUUGACCCGUUCGGCACCUUACGAUAAAUCAAAAUGUUUGGGCUCCUGGGGGAGUAUGGUCGCAAGGCUGAAACUUAAAGAAAUUGACAGAAGGGCACCACCAGGGGUGGAGCCUGCGGCUUAAUUUGACUCAACACGGGGAAACUCACCAGGUCCAGACACGAUGAGGAUUGACAGAUUGAGAGCUCUUUCUUGAUUUCGUGGGUGGUGGUGCAUGGCCGUUCUUAGUUGGUGGAGUGAUUUGUCUGCUUAAUUGCGAUAACGAACGAGACCUUAACCUGCUAAAUAGCCCGUAUUGCUUUGGCAGUACGCCGGCUUCUUAGAGGGACUAUCGG